rnacentral:rRNA from 1 species
UACGUAGGGGGCAAGCGUUGUCCAGAUUUAUUGGGCGUAAAGAGCGUGUAGGCGGCCUGACAGGUCUGCUGUGAAAACUCGAGGCUCAACCUCGAGAUGUCGGCGGAAACCGUCUGGCUAGAGUCCGGAAGAGGAGAGUGGAAUUCCUGGUGUAGCGGUGAAAUGCGCAGAUAUCAGGAAGAACACCUAUGGCGAAGGCAGCUCUCUGGGACGGUACUGACGCUGAGACGCGAAAGCGUGGGGAGCGAACAGG